AUAUUAAAGGUUAUUAUUUAAAGGAAGAGUAAUGAGGUCCAAGAAACUUUUUUUUUAACUAUAAGGCUUCAUUUGGUUUGGGGUUAAGUAAAAACUAAUUAUUUCAGGGAUAGGGUUAAGUAAAAACAGAAGUAGGGGAGCCUCCUAAGACUAUAUAGAGAGAGAGAGAGAAAGUCUGCCUACGUGGUCUACCACCAAACACUUGGUGUUACAAAAUUUUUUACUGUUAUAUAUUUUUUUUCUUUUAAUCAUUUUUACCCGUUAAAUUAUACUAUUCACGUCAACCAAAAACUCUUCAAUCUUUGGAGACUACUAUCAUCCUAAUCGCACAUCCCUUCAUCCAAGGGCCAAAAAUCUAAUAACACCAAUAAUUUGAUACUAUUAGAAGCAUUCCAGCCUAAUUAUAUGUAUAUAGAGUCCGGUUGGGACACAGUCGAUAGCACUAAGGGCUUGUGCUAUCGAGUUUUCCACCGUUAAAUUUAACUCUUUAAUUAUUUUUACCGAUUAGAUUAUACUAUUCAACCAACCAUCCACUCAACUCUAGGGGGGCCCACAUCAUUCUAACCGCACAUUUCUCAAUCCAAUAUCUAAAAAACUAAUAGCACCAAUAACUUGGUACAAUUAAUAGCAUCCCAGCCUAGUUAUAUAUAUAUAUAUAUAUAUAUAUAUAUAUAUAUAUAUAUAGAGAGAGAGAGAGAGAGAGAGAGAGAGAGAGAGAGAGAGCUAGGCUACUAUACUAUCCAUAGUACAAAAGCUCCGGUACUAUAGUGUUGUUUUCGAUCUUCAGGCGUUCAAAUCAACGAUCCACACCGUUAAAUAUGAUCUAGGGUAUAUGAUGUUUUUAGGAAUAAAAUUUUAGUUUUUUUCGAUAUCGUUUACUUAGUAAAUAAAUUAUGUCAAAAUGGAUGGUGGAAAUUGAAUGCUCUUUAAAAUUUGAGUAUAGAACUUUUAAAUUCAAGAUCAAGAAUGUUAACCUUAAUCUAUAUAGUUUAAAGUAUUUUCUAUCAAAAUUUGAAGAAAUUUAGAUUCUUCUACACCGUUAAACUCCAAACUCGUCGUAAUAGCCAUUGAAAAUUGACAAUUUUGAAAUGGUUUGAUCAUAAAGUAAACUAUAUCGAAAAAAUAUAAAAUUUUAUUUCUAGAAACUUUAAAUACCCUAAAUCAUAUUUAACGGUAUGAAUCGUUGAUUUGAACGCCCGAAGAUCGAAAACAACACCAUAGUACCGGAGCUCCGGUACUAUAGAUAGUAUAGUAGCCUAAUUCUAUAUAUAUAUAUAUAGCAAAUACGCAAAGAGAUUAAUUAGGCUAUAAAAAAAAUGAAAAGUGUCAAUAUAUAAGUCGAUCAAGCUGAGGGUACGAAAAUCACCGUUUUUUAAAAAAGAUUCUAAGUUCUAUGCGGUUAGCAAAAUUCUUAAACUGAUGCAGUAGAACACUUGUUUAUUCCUUUCAGAAUACAACGGCUCGAUUCUCGUCGAACCGAUGUAGUAGAAUACUAGCUUAUCCCUUACAGAAUAUAACGUUCGACUCUCAUCGUAUGACUUUACCAACUUUGCACAAGUUGAUGAGCUCAAAGUUUCAGCAAAAGAACAUUUUUUUUUUUGGCCUCUUUCUCUCGCUCUCAAAUAGAAUAGAAAUAAUUAUUUUUUUCUGUGAAAGAAGGAAAAACGAAUGAAUGUACAUAGGUUAUGCCUUCUUUAGUUGCAAAUUCAAAGCCACAAUUAAAAGGUAGAAGUUACAUUACAUUCAAUGCAUAGAUUAUCGAAAUUAAAAUUCAUAUUUAAUAAUAAAAAUACUAGAGAGAGAGAGAGUUGAGCUAGAAUGUUAUCGGUAGCAAAUGGGCUUAUUUGCCAUUCAUUUGUUUUCGAUGAUGGAGUCUCCAAAUCGACGAUCGGCACCGUUGAACAUGAUCUAUACCACUUGAAAAAUUUAGAAAUCAAAUUUUAUAAACUUUCGAUAUUUUUCUCUUAUCUAUCAAGUUGACACAAACAUAAACGGUUGAAAAUGAAUAUUUCUUUACAAAGUAAUGAUAGGAGUCUUAUAAUCAAGAUCAAGAGUACAAAUUUUGUUUCAAAUAGUUUAAAAAAUUUUCUAACAAAAAUUCAAUUUAUUUGGAUAAUUUUUACGUCUUUAAAUAAGAAAAUUGUCAUAUCGAUCAUUAAAAUUAUAAAUUUUAAAAUUCUUUGAUUAUUAGACGAAUGAUAUAAAAAAGAUUUGAAAUUUGAUUUUUAAAAACUUCAAAUUCUAGCUCAAUUAUAUAUAUAUAUAUAUAGAGAGAGAGAGAGAGAGAGAGAGAGAGUUCUUUGUGCUGCUUUUUGUACCAUGCAUAGCUCUUAACAUCCUUAAUUAAAAGCUUAUUUCGUGAAACAGACUUUAAAUUCAUCUAACGUGUGCAUUCUCCAGCCAUUUACGUGUACGCGUUGCGUGUACAAGAUGUAGUUGCGAAAUUAAUGCUUUAAUAAAAAAUAAAUAAAAGGCUAAAUUACAGAAAAUUUUGCUAUCAAAAUUCGAUUCUUUAUUUUUUCCUCCUGUCAUUUAAAAUCUAAACUUUGUCUUCUUAUAAAAUAAAAAAUGUUCACAGAGAAGUAUAUUAUGAAUUAUGAUGAUAGAGCGACUAUUUUGCUCCUCACCAUUUUGCCCCCCAUCAUUUUCAUAGGAGAGAAGACUAAGAGCAUUUUUGGCAUAAAAAUAUAUAUAAUAAUAUUUUAUAAACGAAAUCUUAACGGAUUACUAACGGCAGGAGGCGAAAUGAAUAUUUUUUAUUUUACAAGCGGGUAAAGUGUAGGUUUUUAAAUGACAGAAAAAAAAAAUAAAAAAUCGAAUUUUGAUAGGAGAAUUUUAUGUAAUUUAGCCUAAAUAAAAAGGGCAAAAAGCCAUGAUCUCUUCCUCUUCUCACU
rnacentral:lncRNA from 1 species